GCAAACUUGGUCAUUUAGAGGAAGUAAAAGUCGUAACAAGGUCUCCGUUGGUGAACCAGCGGAGGGAUCAUUACCGAGUUUACAACUCCCAAACCCACUGUGAACCUUACCUAUCGUUGCUUCGGCGGGACCGCCCCGGCGCCGACUCAGGCCCGGAACCAGGCGCCCGCCGGAGGCCCGAAACUCUAUUGUCUAUAAGUUUUCUCCUCUGAUUACACAUAAACAAUAAAUCAAAACUUUCAACAACGGAUCUCUUGGUUCUGGCAUCGAUGAAGAACGCAGC
rnacentral:misc_RNA from 1 species